rnacentral:rRNA from 1 species
GAUGAACGCUGGCGGCGUGCCUAAUACAUGCAAGUCGAGCGAACAGACGAGGAGCUUGCUCCUCUGACGUUAGCGGCGGACGGGUGAGUAACACGUGGAUAACCUACCUAUAAGACUGGGAUAACUUCGGGAAACCGGAGCUAAUACCGGAUAAUAUAUUGAACCGCAUGGUUCAAUAGUGAAAGACGGUUUUGCUGUCACUUAUAGAUGGAUCCGCGCCGCAUUAGCUAGUUGGUAAGGUAACGGCUUACCAAGGCAACGAUGCGUAGCCGACCUGAGAGGGUGAUCGGCCACACCGGAACUGAGAAACGGUCAAGACUCCUACGGGAGGCAGCAGUAGGGAAUCCUCCGCAAUGGGCGAAAGCCUGACGGAGCAACGCCGCGUGAGUGAUGAAGGUCUUCGGAUCGUAAAACUCUGUUAUUAGGGAAGAACAAAUGUGUAAGUAACUAUGCACGUCUUGACGGUACCUAAUCAGAAAGCCACGGCUAACUACGUG